AUUCGCAGAACCAGCAGAUGCAUUCAAAACCAGCGUGAAUCUUGUCGCUCGUGUGGCCAACAGCAGAAUUUUACAUCUUUUUCAUGGCCGAUUGAAGGAUUUGUUGAGAAGUACAAGAGAAUGAAAGACAGGGCAGCUCUUUUGAAAGGCAGUUUACAUAAGAAAGUGAUGACCUUUGAAAGAUGGAGGUGUGUUUUAACAGAUGAACUUGAUCUCUGCAUUCAGGGAUCUGUGGAGAACAAGUCCUUUGAAGCUGAAAACUCACCUUAGUACAUGUAGGCCGCCUGCUGUGGUCGAGCGGCUCUAGGCGCUUCAGUCCGGAACCACGCAGCUGCUAUGGUCGCAGGUUUGAAUCCUGCCUCAGGCAUGGAUGUGUGUG